rnacentral:tRNA from 1 species
GGGGUAGUGGCUCAGUGGUAGAGCACUCACCUAACCCGUGUGAGGCCCAGGGUUCUAUCCUCAGCACCACA